CUGGAGCCCUGCUGGGGCCCUGUUGGGAUCCACUGGGACCCUGGUGGGACCAGCUGGGACCCUGCUGGGACCAACGGGGACCCCCUGGAACCCUGCUGGGGCCCUGUUGGGAUCCACUGGGACCCUGGUGGGACCAGCUGGGACCCUGCUGGGACCAACGGGGACCCCCUGGAACCCUGCUGGGGCCCUGUUGGGAUCCACUGGGACCCUGGUGGGACCAGCUGGGACCCUGCUGGGCCCCACGGGGACCCCCUGGAACCCUGCUGGGGCCAACUGGGAUCCACUGGGACCCCGGUGGGACCAGCUGGGACCCUGCUGGGCCCCACGGGGACCCCCUGGAACCCUGCUGGGGCCAACUGGGAUCCACUGGGACCCCGGUGGGACCAGCUGGGACCCUGCUGGGACCAACGGGGACCCCCUGGAACCCUGCUGGGGCCAACUGGGAUCCACUGGGACCCCGGUGGGACCAGCUGGGACCCUGCUGGGACCAACUGGGGUCAACUGGAACCCUGCUGGGGCCAACUGGGAUCCACUGGGACCCUGCUGGGACCAGCUGAGACCCGCUGGGUCCCUGCUGGGACCAACUGGGAGCCAACUGGGAUCAAGCAGGACCAUGCUGGCAUCAACUGGGGGCCAACUGGGAUCAACCAGGAUCAACUGGGGGCCAACUGGGAUGAACUGGGACCAUGUUGGGAUCGACUGGGAUCAAUAGGAACUGUACUGGAGCCAACCGGGACACUGCUGGAUUCAACUGGGAUCAACCGGGACCAUGUUGGGAUCGACUGGGACCAACUGGGAGCCGCCCCCACCCAAACUGGCCUGGAACUGGGCCGGCGACCCCUCC
rnacentral:lncRNA from 1 species